CACGUAGGGGGCGAGCGUUGUCCGGAAUCAUUGGGCGUAAAGAGCUCGUAGGCGGCUAAGUAAGUCGGGUGUGAAAACUCCAGGCUCAACCUGGAGACGCCACCUGAUACUGCUUUGGCUAGAGUCCGGUAGGGGAGCAUGGAAUUCCUGGUGUAGCGGUGAAAUGCGCAGAUAUCAGGAGGAACACCAGUGGCGAAGGCGGUGCUCUGGGCCGGAACUGACGCUGAGGAGCGAAAGCGUGGGGAGCAAACAGG
rnacentral:rRNA from 1 species